GGUCCUAUCGUCUAACGGUUAGGACACCAGGUUCUCAUCCUGGCAAUUCGAGUUCGAUUCUCGAUAGGAUCACCA
rnacentral:tRNA from 1 species